UUGUACAUGUGCUGAGUGUUGUUGACUUGUUAAUGUGGUGUUGCCUUCAAAGACAAGCUGUAAACUGACACGGAGAAUUUAUCACUGGGCAGAUUGACUCAGACAUCCCAUCCAUUCACAAAGCUUGCAUAUGACAAUGGAAGGAAGUUGUCUUGGGAAGGAGGAGAAUCUCAGCCACCUACAAGACAGAUGGGCAUACAUCUACCACAGUUUAUUUUGUGCCAGGUUUAUGGCUUGGGUAUUUCCUGUAUUCCAAAUGAAGAGAUUUGCUGUUCCUGAGAGGAAAGGUUUUUCCCUAUGGAAGACAAUUUUUUGGCAAGUCUAGCAGUUUCUAACCUGCCAAAUAGUUGUGAUGGGAUGUCGGUGUUCCCAGAAAAGUGUUCAGUGCCUUUUAUUUGAAGAAUUGGAAAUAGAACUCAAAGGCAAGAUAAAGUUUAGACAAGAACCUUUUACAGCUUCACCAGCAUCUCUUCAGCUAAAGACCUAAUAAGCAAACAGGUAUGAAUCUUAGUCUUCUGCUUGCCACAAACUACUGGUAUUGUUGUUUUGUUUAAUC
rnacentral:lncRNA from 1 species